UACGUAGGGUGCGAGCGUUAAUCGGAAUUACUGGGCGUAAAGCGUGCGCAGGCGGUCUCGUAAGCUGGGUGUGAAAGCCCCGGGCUUAACCUGGGGAAUGGCAUUCAGGACUGCGAGGCUCGAGUGUGGCAGAGGGAGGUGGAAUUCCACGUGUAGCAGUGAAAUGCGUAGAGAUGUGGAGGAACACCGAUGGCGAAGGCAGCCUCCUGGGCCAGCACUGGACGCUCAUGCACGAAAGCGUGGGGAGCAAACAGGA
rnacentral:rRNA from 1 species